rnacentral:rRNA from 1 species
GCCAAGUGCGGGGAGGGGUCGGAGGUGAGACGUGGGGGGGGGUGGUUGGGCGGAAUUAUGGGGGGUAAAGAGCUAGGAGGGGGCUUGUGGCGUCGGCUGUGGAAACCCGCGGCUUAACCGUGGGCUUGCAGCCGAUACGGGCGGGCUAGAGUUCGGUAGGGGAGACUGGAAUUCCUGGUGGAGCGGUGAAAUGCGCAGAUAUCAGGAGGAACACCGGUGGCGAAGGCGGGUCUCUGGGCCGAUACUGACGCUGAGGAGCGAAAGCGUGGGGAGCGAACAGGAUUAGAUACCCCAGUAGUC